UACGUAGGGGGCAAGCGUUGUCCGGACUUACUGGGCGUAAAGCGCGCGCAGGCGGAUUGGUAUGUGCCGUGUGAAAGCUCCCAGCUUGCCUGGGAGAGGUCGCGGUAGACAGCCGAUCUGGAGGCUCGGAGAGGUCAGUGGAAUUCCCGGUGUAGUGGUGAAAUGCGUAGAUAUCAGGAGGAACACCAAUUGCGAAGGCAGCUCGCUGGGACGUUACUGACGCUGAGACGCGAAAGCGUGGGGAGCAAACAGG
rnacentral:rRNA from 1 species